rnacentral:rRNA from 1 species
AUACGGAGGAUCCGAGCGUUAUCCGGAUUUAUUGGGUUUAAAGGGAGCGUAGGUGGAUUGUUAAGUCAGUUGUGAAAGUUUGCGGCUCAACCGUAAAAUUGCAGUUGAAACUGGCAGUCUUGGGUACAGUAGAGGUGGGCGGAAUUCGUGGUGUAGCGGUGAAAUGCUUAGAUAUCACGAAGAACUCCGAUUGCGAAGGCAGCUCACUAGACUGUUACUGACACUGAUGCUCGAAAGUGUGGGUAUCAAACAGGAUUAGAUACCCUGGUAGUCCACACAGUAAACGAUGAAUACUCGCUGUUUGCGAUAUACAGUAAGCGGCCAAGCGAAAGCAUUAAGUAUUCCACCUGGGGAGUACGCCGGCAACGGUGAAACUCAAAUGAAUUGACGGGG